rnacentral:rRNA from 1 species
UCGAACGAGCAGAGGAGCUUGCUUUUCUUGAUAGUGGCGAACGGGUGAGUAACGCGUGAGUACCUGCCCUGGAGUGGGGGACAACAGUUGGAAACGACUGCUAAUACCGCAUAAGCCGGCAUCGGAAAAGAUUUAUCGCUUCAGGAUGGACUCGCGUCCAAUUAGCUGGUUGGUGAGGUAACGGCCCACCAAGGCGACGAUUGGUAGCCGGACUGAGAGGUUGAACGGCCACAUUGGGACUGAGACACGGCCCAGACUCCUACGGGAGGCAGCAGUGGGGGAUAUUGCACAAUGGGGGAAACCCUGAUGCAGCGACGCCGCGUGGAGGAAGAAGGUUUUCGGAUUGUAAACUCCUGUCGUUAGGGACGAUAAUGACGGUACCUAACAAGAAAGCACCGGCUAACUACGUGCCAGCAGCCGCGGUAAAACGUAGGGUGCAAGCGUUGUCCGGAAUUACUGGGUGUAAAGGGAGCGCAGGCGGACCGGCAAGUUGGAAGUGAAAACUAUGGGCUCAACCCAUAAAUUGCUUUCAAAACUGCUGGCCUUGAGUAGUGCAGAGGUAGGUGGAAUUCCCGGUGUAGCGGUGGAAUGCGUAGAUAUCGGGAGGAACACCAGUGGCGAAGGCGACCUACUGGGCACCAACUGACGCUGAGGCUCGAAAGCAUGGGUAGCAAACAGGAUUAGAUACCCUGGUAGUCCAUGCCGUAAACGAUGAUUACUA